rnacentral:rRNA from 1 species
AGUGAACGCUGGCGGUAGGCCUAACACAUGCAAGUCGAACGGCAGCACAGUAAGAGCUUGCUCUUACGGGUGGCGAGUGGCGGACGGGUGAGGAAUACAUCGGAAUCUACUUUUUCGUGGGGGAUAACGUAGGGAAACUUACGCUAAUACCGCAUACGACCUACGGGUGAAAGCAGGGGAUCUUCGGACCUUGCGCGAUUGAAUGAGCCGAUGUCGGAUUAGCUAGUUGGCGGGGUAAAGGCCCACCAAGGCGACGAUCCGUAGCUGGUCUGAGAGGAUGAUCAGCCACACGGGAACUGAGACACGGUCCAGACUCCUACGGGAGGCAGCAGUCGGGAAUAUUGGGCAAUGGGCGCAAGCCUGAUCCAGCCAUACCGCGUGGGUGAAGAAGGCCUUCGGGUUGUAAAGCCAUUUUGUUGGGAAAGAAAAGCAGCAGGUUAAUACCCCGCUGUUCUGACGGUACCCAAAGAAUAAGCACCGGCUAACUUCGUG